rnacentral:lncRNA from 1 species
UUUUAAAACAAACUAGAGGCUCUAAAGAGCCUGUGUCGCUCACCUUGGUCUAUGUGCAUAUCAUAAACGAAGGACACACAGAUGGAUUCAUGACAAAAUUGUGUUUUGGUGAUGGUGAUGCGUUAGUAGAUCUUACUUUACUGAACAUUCUUGCUGCUUACAAUUAUCUCUAUCUAUAAUGAUCUUGGCCCAGUUGUUUCAGUGGAAAAUGUUAGUAAAAAUUUACAAAUUUUAUGAAAAUUGUUAAAAAUUGACUAUAAAGGACAGUAACUCCUUAGGGGGUUAAUUGACCAUUUUGGUCGUGUUGACUUAUUUUUAGGUCUUACUUUACUGUACAUUAUUGCUGUUUACAGUUUAUCUCUAUCUAUAAUAAUAUUCAAGAUAACAAAAAACGGCAAAAUUUCCUUAAAAUUACCAAUU